rnacentral:tRNA from 1 species
AUUUAAAUAAUUUAAUUAAAAUAUUGAUUUGUGGAGUCAAAAAUAUGAAUUAAUUUCAUUUUAAGUU